UGUCUUAUCAUGUACCCAUUGCUUGCAUACGCAACGGGAAAAAAAAGCAAUGUCAUAAAUUUUGUGUAUUUAAUUGAAUUGUUUAUUGGCACGCUUCACAUUGAAGGAAAAUCUGAGGAGGUCAAAGUGCCUCCAGUGGAAAAAGUGAGUGCACUGCUCCCUCCUCCCCGGCUCCUCUCCUCGUCCUGCUUCCUCCGAGCCCAUCUCCCAUGUGCUUUUUGUUAAGAAUAGUUCAGAGCCAGUGAGCCCACACAGUGACAGCGGGUCUCGUCCCACUCAAGCUCUGGUUCACGACCGGCGGCGGAGGUCACAUUCACAGUGAACAGAAAUGGUGUAGGUGGACCGUGUGGACGUGUGUCUGCAUCCGCGUGUUGCUCUCCUCUCCAGACUGCUGUUCUUUUAUACUGACGCCUCACUCCUUCAAAUGCGGGAGCACUCAUGUCUUUAUGUUCAGGUGCCUGUUGCUCUUUUGUGUUUCUAUGAUAAAUCUGAGCAUGCAGCAAAAAGGCACCUCCUCCCUUGAUGAACUUGGCAUCGAUCUGUGUUGAGUCUGAGGACAGCAAUCAUGCAAAUGUCGCUGCCAAAGAGGGAGAUGUGUCAGUGCUGUGUGUGGGAUGAGAGAGUCUGGGAGGAAUGAAUGGCUGGAGCACGUUCAUGUAGAUGCUUGGUUCUGAACAUGCAGUUCCUUCACAUAUACUGUAUCGCUGAGCAGCCUUCAUCCCGAUACCCGCUGUGAACCUCUGGUGACCCUCUCUUUCAUGGCGCUAUCCACUUGACGUAGAGGCCACUCUGUGCUGAGCCUGACGCUGAUACGGCCUUUGGACUGGAGCUGCUGAACGUAUGAUCUAUGGAGGCAGAAGCCGCACGUGCUGCGUCUGUGUUGAGCUCGAUUGAAGAAAAAAGCUGGAGUCUUUUCCAAAAACACGGAUAUAGAAUUAUUUCUCUGUAAAUACUAUACUAUAAAAUGAAAAUGAAAUGGUGUUAUAUAAAUAUGAUAUACAGUAUGAUGUAUA